GCAAACUUGGUCAUUUAGAGGAAGUAAAAGUCGUAACAAGGUUUCCGUAGGUGAACCUGCGGAAGGAUCAUUAAAGAGUUAUAGGGUGCAAACCCGAACCUCCAACCCUUUGUUGUAAUUGACUAGUUGCCUUGCCCUGGUGCUCGCGCCGGGGCAAUGGACCUAUAAACUCGAAUAUCAGUGUAGUCUGAGCUUAAAUUCAAUGAAUUAAAACUUUCAACAACGGAUCUCUUGGUUCUCGCAUCGAUGAAGAACGCAGC
rnacentral:misc_RNA from 1 species